rnacentral:rRNA from 1 species
GACGAACGCUGGCGGCGUGCUUAACACAUGCAAGUCGAGCGGUAAGGCUCCUUCGGGAGUACACGAGCGGCGAACGGGUGAGUAACACGUGAGUAAUCUGCCCCUCACUUCGGGAUAAGCCUCGGAAACGAGGUCUAAUACCGGAUACGACCAGCUCUUGCAUGAGAUGCUGGUGGAAAGUUUUUUCGGUGGGGGAUGUGCUCGCGGCCUAUCAGCUUGUUGGUGGGGUAAUGGCCUACCAAGGCUUCGACGGGUAGCCGGCCUGAGAGGGUGACCGGCCACACUGUGACUGAGACACGGCCCAGACUCCUACGGGAGGCAGCAGUGGGGAAUAUUGGACAAUGGGCGGAAGCCUGAUCCAGCAACGCCGCGUGAGGGAUGACGGCCUUCGGGUUGUAAACCUCUUUCAGCGGGGACGAAGCGCAAGUGACGGUACCCGCAGAAGAAGCACCGGCCAACUACGUGCCAGCCGCCGCCGUAAGAC